rnacentral:sRNA from 1 species
AGUGCAGUGGGGCGAUCUCUGCUCACUGCAACCUCUGCCUCCCAGAUUCAAGCGAUUCUCCUGCCUCGGCCUCCCAAGUUGCUGGGAUUACAGACAUUUACCACCACACCUGGCUGAUUUUGUAUUUUUAGUAGAGACGGGGUUUCACCAUGUUGGUCAGGCUGGUUCAGACUCCUGACCUCAAGUGAUCCUUUUUAAGGUUGAAUAGUAUCCAUUGUUUGUAUAUACAUACACAUUUUGUUAAUCCAUUAAUUUGGACUUUUGGGUUGCUUCCACUUAGCCACAUAGGACUCUGGACUGGGUUGCCGGAUGGUUCCUUUUUCUUAUUUUUGGUUCUAUGUAGCAUUUCUCCUUAUAUCACCAUGGGCAGCAUCAGUGAUUACAAGAAAAAUGCUAAGUCCCAGCUAUGGAUUUCGGGCCUCUACACUUCUGCUUACUGGUGUGGGCAGGCACUAGUGGACGUCAGCUUCUUCAUUUUAAUUCUCCUUUUAAUGUAUUUAAUUUUCUACAUAGAAAACAUGCAGUACCUUCUUAUUACAAGCCAAAUUGUGUUUGCUUUGGUUAUAGUUACUCCUGGUUAUGCAGCUUCUCUUGUCUUCUUCAUAUAUAUGAUAUCAUUUAUUUUUCGCAAAAGGAGAAAAAACAGUGGCCUUUGGUCAUUUUACUUCUUUUUUGCCUCCACCAUCAUGUUUUCCAUCACUUUAAUCAAUCAUUUUGACCUAAGUAUGUUGAUUACCACCAUGGUAUUGGUUCCUUCAUAUACCUUGCUUGGAUUUAAAACUUUUUUGGAAGUGAGAGACCAGGAGCACUACAGAGAAUUUCCAGAGGCAAAUUUUGAAUUGAGUGCCACUGAUUUUCUAGUCUGCUUCAUACCCUACUUUCAGACUUUGCUAUUCGUUUUUGUUCUAAGAUGCAUGGAACUAAAAUGUGGAAAGAAAAGAAUGCGAAAAGAUCCUGUUUUCAGAAUUUCCCCCCAAAGUAGAGAUGCUAAGCCAAAUCCAGAAGAACCCAUAGAUGAAGAUGAAGAUGUUCAAGCAGAAAGAAUAAGAACAGCAACUGCUCUGACCACUUCAAUCUUAGAUGAGAAACCUGUUAUAAUUGCCAGCUGUCUACACAAAGAAUAUGCAGGCCAGAAGAAAAGUUGCCUUUCAAAGAGGAAGAAGAAAAUAGCAGCAAGAAAUAUCUCUUUCUGUGUUCAAGAAGGUGAAAUUUUGGGAUUGCUAGGACCCAAUGGUGCUGGAAAAAGUUCAUCUAUUAGAAUGAUAUCUGGGAUCACAAAGCCAACUGCUGGAGAGGUGGAACUGAAAGGCUGCAGUUCAGUUUUGGGCCACCUGGGGUACUGCCCUCAAGAGAACGUGCUGUGGCCCAUGCUGACGUUGAGGGAACACCUGGAGGUGUAUGCUGCCGUCAAGGGGCUCAGGAAAGCGGACGCGAGGCUCGCCAUCGCAAGAUUAGUGAGUGCUUUCAAACUGCAUGAGCAGCUGAAUGUUCCUGUGCAGAAAUUAACAGCAGGAACCACGAGAAAGGUACGUGCGGUGUGUGAUGCUCUAUGGAGAGCUGGUGUGGUAUGGUAGCAAACAGGGGUGUUUUUCUACGUUGCAGUUGUGUUUUGUGCUGAGCCUCCUGGGAAACUCAUCUGUCUUGCUCCUGGAUGAACCAUCUACGGGCAUAGACCCCACAGGGCAGCAGCAAAUGUGGCAGGCAAUCCAGGCAGUCGUUAAAAACACAGAGAGAGGUGUCCUCCUGACCACCCAUAACCUGGCUGAGGCGGAGGCCUUGUGUGACCGUGUGGCCAUCAUGGUGUCUGGAAGUCUUAGAUGCAUUGGCUCCAUCCAACACCUGAAAAACAAACUUGGCAAGGAUUACAUUCUAGAGCUAAAAGUGAAGGAAACGGCUCAAGUGACUUUGGUCCACACUGAGAUUCUGAAGCUUUUCCCACAGGCUGCAGGGCAGGAAAGGUAUUCCUCCUUGUUAACCUAUAAGCUGCCCAUGGCAGACGUUUACCCUCUAUCACAGACCUUUCACAAAUUAGAGGCAGUGAAGCAUAACUUUAACCUGGAAGAAUACAGCCUUUCUCAGUGCACAUUGGAGAAGGUAUUCUUAGAGCUUUCUAAAGAACAGGAAGUAGGAAAUUUUGAUGAAGAAAUUGAUACAACAAUGAGAUGGAAACUCCUCCCUCAUUCAGAUGAACCUUAAAACCUCAAACCUAGUAAUUUUUUGUUGAUCUCCUAUAAACUUAUGUUUUAUGUAAU